ACUCUGCGUAAGCACCACCCGCCCUACGCGGUCUCGAAAUGGCUCCGGGUGGCGGACUAAGACGACAGGCCUCCGCGGUUCGACCUCUCACCUGCUCGGCACAGGCUUCCACCUCCAGCUAGUCCCGCCUCCUCCUGACACUCUGCCGGCCGCGAAUGGAGGGCCCUGGAAAAGGCCCGGUUGUGACAGGAGAGAGAGUGUGUUUACAUCUCACCUCACCCCGAGCGGACUGGUUUCAGCCCCGCCUCCUCCUCCCCGCCGUUUAAAACGGUGGGUCGCCCUCCUCCUCACUCAGAGGAGCGGCCCCACAGUUGGUGUCUCCGGGGUUGGUUUGGCUGGGUGACUCCGCGUCAGCCUGCUGUCCACUGCGAGAGGGCCUCGAACUUCAGGUGGAAGAUGUCGGAAAGUAACUUGGCAGAGCGCAGCGACGGACGCGAGAGGCUGGUGUCUGGUGCUGAAGUCGUCGCCCAGGCCCUGAAAACACAGGAUGUGAAUUACAUGUUUGGCAUCGUAGGCAUCCCGGUGACCGAAAUCGCCCUUGCUGCCCAGGAGGUGGGCAUCAGAUACAUCGGGAUGAGGAACGAGCAGGCGGCUUGUUAUGCUGCCUCUGCGGUUGGAUAUCUGACAGGCAGGCCGGGAGUUUGCCUUGUUGUUUCUGGCCCAGGUCUCAUCCAUGCUUUGGGUGGUAUGGCAAAUGCAAACAUGAACUGUUGGCCCUUGAUUGUGAUUGGUGGUUCCUCUGAAAGAAGUCAGGAAACAAUGGGGGCCUUUCAGGAGUUUCCUCAGGUUGAAGCUUGUAGAUUAUAUAGCAAGUUCUCUGCCCGGCCAAGUAGCAUAGAAGCUAUUCCCUCUAUUAUCGAAAAGGCAGUGAGAAGCAGUAUUUAUGGUCGUCCAGGUGCUUGCUAUGUUGACAUACCUGCAGAUUUUGUGAACCUCCAGGUGAAUGUGGAUUCUAUAAGGUACGUGGAGUGCUGCACGCCCCCUCCUGUUAGUAUGGCAGAAAGCUCUGCUGUAUGUAUGGCAGCAUCUGUUAUUAGGAAUGCCAGACAGCCCCUUCUUAUCAUCGGGAAAGGUGCUGCUUAUGCCCGUGCAGAGGAGAGUAUCGGGAAAUUGGUGGAGCAAUGUAAAUUGCCAUUUCUGCCCACCCCCAUGGGAAAGGGUGUUAUCCCUGACAACCAUCCAAACUGUGUAGGUGCUGCCAGAUCCAGGGCUUUGCAAUUUGCUGAUGUAAUUGUGUUAUUUGGUGCCAGAUUAAAUUGGAUUUUACAUUUUGGACUGCCUCCAAGAUAUCAGCCAGAUGUGAAGUUUAUCCAGGUUGAUAUCUGUGCAGAAGAGUUGGGGAAUAAUGUAAGACCUGCUGUGACCUUGCUAGGAGACAUAAAUGCUGUUACUAAACAGCUUUUAGAACAAUUUGAGAAAACACCAUGGCAGUAUCCUCCUGAGAGCAAGUGGUGGAAAAUUCUGAGAGAAAAAAUGAAGAGCAAUGAAGCUUUAUCCAAGGAAUUAGCUUUCAAAAAAUCCCUGCCUAUGAAUUAUUACACAGUAUUCUACCACAUUCAAGAACAACUGCCCAGAGACUGUUUUGUGGUGAGCGAAGGAGCAAAUACUAUGGAUAUUGGGCGCACUGUGCUUCAAAACUACCUUCCUCGUCACAGGCUUGAUGCUGGUACUUUCGGAACAAUGGGAGUCGGUUUGGGAUUUGCCAUUGCAUCUGCUCUAGUGGCUAAAGAUAGAAACCCAGGGCAGCGGGUCAUCUGUGUGGAAGGAGACAGUGCAUUUGGAUUUUCUGGCAUGGAAGUGGAAACCAUCUGCAGGUACAACUUGCCAAUCAUACUUUUGGUGGUGAAUAACAAUGGAAUUUACCAAGGUUUUGAUACAGAUACUUGGAAGGAAAUGUUAAAAUUUGGAGAUGCUACUACAGUGGCCCCUCCAAUGUGUCUUCUGCCACACUCACAUUACGAGCAUGUCAUGACUGCAUUUGGAGGCAAAGGGUAUUUUGUACAAACACCAGAAGAACUCCAGAAAUCCCUGAGGCAGAGCCUGGCAGACACAACUAAACCCUGUCUUAUCAACAUCAUGAUUGAGCCGCAAGCCAUGCGGAAAGCCCAGGAUUUUCACUGGCUGACCCGCUCUAAUAUGUAAAUAAAGAUGCCAAUGAGUGACUUGAGGAGUUUUCUCUUUCCCGAAAGAACUUACUAAGCCAAAGGAGAAAUCACACCACACCCAAACUAAUAAUUUCAAGGAACGAUGAGAAUUCAGGCUUGGAAAUGACUUUUAUCAGGCCUGGAAAUAUCCAGAGACGGCAUCACCCGUGAUCUUCUUCCCAGGGGUCACUGGAGCCAGCUCUGUGGAGUGCUUAAUCUACAGCUACCUGGUUCGUCCCGAGGCUCAUUCUCUGGUCCCAGCGUGUUCCCAGGUACUGCCUCCUCACCCCAGUGAUCAGGGAGGGCUCAGGAAAUCAGACCCGCUUUCACCCUAGCCUGAGCUCUGUGUGCUCCCCGCCGUUUGCCGUGUGGUAUCAGCCAUGUUGUCACCUCUUCCGUGAAGCCGUCCUCUCUCCCAGCCCUCCUACAGCAUCCUGCGUGUACCUUCUUCACUACUCACGAUAUUCAUGAUGCAUCGAAUUCCCAUCUCCCUUCCCACCUCGACCGAGUGCCUGUGUACCCAGACGUCACCCACCCCUCGUCUUCCAGGGCCUGCGUCCUCCUGCUCUGUUUGGCAAGCUCCUCUGUGGGCUCCGCCUUGAAGAAUCUACAUAUUGCUAAGUGUAUAUAGUGAUAUGUACAUCACGGACAUUUUCUUGCAGGGGUGGCGACCUGGGGGGGUUUAUAUCACAAAAGCCGUGGCAGACGAUUCUGAGGGUGCAGCGUGGAGAGGUGAGCCAUGGAGAAGCAAAGCCCAGCCCUGGUGCCUGGGUUAGACAAGCCCCACCGCCUUACAGCCAUGUAGGGGUGGGGUCUGGGCCUCGAGGCCCUGACGGAACUGGGCCAAGUUCCUCCUCCAAAUGGAGGUCAGAAGUAAAGUUGAGUUACUGGAAAUAAAUAUUUCUUUCACACUUGA